CGGUAAUUCCAGCUCCAAUAGCGUAUACUAAAGUUGUUGCAGUUAAAAAGCUCGUAGUUGGAUUUCUGCGGGGACGGAGCGGCCGGACGCAACUUGCGUCUCGAGCUAGCGCUUUCCCCGCAUCCUGCCGCGAACCGUGCUACCAUUAGUUUGGUGGCGCUGGGGAUCGGCUCGAUUACUUUGAGAAAAAUAGAGUGUUCAAAGCAGGCCACACGCCUUGAAUAAGUUAGCAUGGAAUAAUGACUAAGGACUUUGGUUCUUUUCGUUGGUGUUCGGGACUGAAGUAAUGAUUGAUAGGGACAGUUGGGGCGGUCCGUAUUCCAAAGCGAGAGGUGAAAUUCUUAGACCUUCGGAAGACGAACAGCUGCGAAAGCGUUCCGCAAGGAUGUUCCCUUUGAUCAAGAACGAAAGUUGGGGGAUCGAAGACGAUCAGAUACCGUCGUAGUCUCAACUAUAAACUAUACCAGCUAGGGAUCGGCCAACGUUUAAUUAUUCGACUUGGUCGGCACCUUAUGAGAAAUCAAAGCAUCUGGGUUCCGGGGGGAGUAUGGUCGCAAGGCUGAAACUUAAAGGAAUUGACGGAAGGGCACCACCAGGCGUGGAGCCUGUGGCUUAAUUCGACUCAACACGGGAAAACUUACCAGGUCCAGACAUAGGAAGGAUUGACAGAUUGAUAGCUCUUUCUUGAUUCUGUGGGUGGUGGUGCAUGGCCGUUUUUAGUCGGUGAAGUGAUUUGUCUGCUUAAUUGCGUUAACGGACGAGACCCCAGCCUGCUAAAUAGCGCGGCCGAGCUUUGCUCGGUACGAGCUUCUUAGAGGGACCAUGAUGCGCGAUAGCACAAGGAAGUUUGGGGCAACAACAGGUCUGUGAUGCCCUUAGAUGUUCUGGGCCGCACACGGGCUACACUGGCGCCUGCAACGAGCAUAUCAGCUGGCCCGAGAAGGUCUUGGCUAAUCUUUGGAACCGGCGCCGUGCUUGGGAUUGACCAUUGCAAUUGUUGGUCAUGCAACGAGGAAUGCCUUGUAAACGCGAGUCAUCAGCUCGCAUUGAAUACGUCCCUGCCCUUUGUACACACCGCCCGUCGCUCCUACCGAUGAAUGUUCCGAUGAAAUUUUCGGAGAGCGCCGGAGAACGGGGCUCUGCCCUGCAGAACUGGAGGCUCAAAGUCACUUAAAUCUGAACAUUUCGAGGAAGGAGAAGUCGUAACAAGGUAACC
rnacentral:rRNA from 1 species